rnacentral:rRNA from 1 species
UACGUAGGGGGCAAGCGUUGUCCAGAAUCAUUGGGCGUAAAGAGCGUGUAGGCGGCCCGGUAAGUCCGCUGUGAAAGUCCAGGGCUCAACCCUGGGAUGCCGGUGGAUACUGUCGGGCUCGAGUCCGGAAGAGGAGUGUGGAAUUCCUGGUGUAGCGGUGAAAUGCGCAGAUAUCAGGAGGAACACCAAUUGCGAAGGCAGCUCGCUGGGACGUUACUGACGCUGAGACGCGAAAGCGUGGGGAGCAAACAGG